AUCCCCACAUAAAAUAUGAAUGCAGCAGUGUGUGCUGAAAUCCAGCUCUGGGGAGGCAGAAACAAGAGGAUUCUGAGCAAAAUGGAGGCAAGUGAUAAUGUGGCUUUACAGUACAGACUCAAAGCCUGAGUGACUCAUGAUGUAAGUGACAGAGUUGCAAUUUGAACACACUGCAUCUGGCCAAGAAGAGAAGUGGCAAGAUCUGAAGAAGAACAAAGUAUGGAGGAAGUUAAAAGAAUACAGUGGGUUGGUGACUGGCUAAAGACACUUGCUGGGAAAGCCUGGUGACCAGAGUUUUAUCCCCAGAAUGCACGUAAAAGGGAGAGGGAGAGAACCAGCUCUACAGUUAUUCUCUGACCUCUACACGGGUACUGUGGAAUAUCAUGCACACACACAAUAAUAAUAAUAAAAUAAAAAUGUCAAAAUAUAGCCAAACAUCAGGUGUCAUGGCACAGCCUGUAAUCUUGGCACUCAUGAGGACGAGGACUGCAAGUUCAAGGUGAACCUGAGCUUCAUAGUGAGUUCCAUCCCAGCUUGAACAACCCACUGAGAUCCAGUGUCAAAGAACUAACUGGGCAUGCCAGCAAGAUGGCUCAGAGGGUAAAGGUACUCACUAACAACCUGAAUUCAAUCCGAUGUGGGACUCACAUAGUAGAAGCAAAAAACCAAUUCCGCUAAAUUGUCCUCUGACCACCACACCUGUGCUGUGGCUCAUGUGCCUGUGUACAUAGAUAUACACACACAAAAUAAGUAAACAUUGUAAGGUGGGGGUGGGGGAAGGACCCUAAAACUAACCAGGGGCUGGAGAGACGGUUCUGAUAUUAAGAGCACUUACUCUGCAAUUACAAGGACCAGAAUUGAGAAUGCAGCACUCACUUAACAAGCCAGGCAUCUCUGAAAAUGCCUCUAACUCCAACCCCAGGGUGAGUGGAAACAAGAGGAUCUGGGGGCGUGCUGGCUUUCAGCCUGAGACAGUGAGUCAGUCUUAGGUUCAAGCAAGGCACUUGCCUCAGAAGAACACGCAGAAAGUGACAGCAGAGGACACCUAAUACCCUCUUCAGGCCUGUGUGAGCUGUAUGCAGGUGCAUACACACACAACACACACACAAGAUUACGUCUAAAAGACACUAAUUUAAAAAUACAGAAUUAGAAAUGAUGACUAUCCUUUCUGAUGAAAGCUAAAAAAAACAAACUCCUGACAAUGGAAGAAAACCAACUCUGCAAAAUUCGAAAGGCCAGGGAGGGGAGAGGGUGUGGGCCCACAGGUCAGGACAGCACACAAGCUUUGCUUGGGGCCUCUGUGAUCUCAUCAGUGCUUUUCAAUGAGCAAACUUCGGACAUAGAAGACAACUACAAGUGUCACAGACAACAGACCCCAGAUCUUCCUAUGACCACACUAAAGCUUGUGUGGUGCACAAGGACCUGAGCCUCUUUUCCUCUCUGAGACCUUAUGCUUUUAAAGAGUUAUCCCCCUAUCUCCACGCUGAAUCCACCAGUGUCAAUCUCACUGGUGCUGGUGCCACCAACCUACUCAGUAUUCACAAGGAGCCUCUGCUUUUCCUUCCCCUGGAGAUGUCUGUCCCAGGCUUCCCGCACAUGACAUCUGCUUCCUCAGAAACGGAUCAGAGCCAAGACAGGGCUAAAGAGAAGGCUUAGUGGGUAAGAGCAUCGUUGCUCUUGUAGAGGACCUAGGUUCAGUUCCCAGCACCCACAUAGUGGCUCACAACUUCAAGUUCCCGGGGAUCCAAUGCCCCUUUUUGGCCUCUUUAGGCCUAAAUGCAGAGAAAACCCUGGUACACAUAAAAGUGUAAGAACCCAGAAAGGAGGAGGGUGCGUAGUCAGUCUUCCAUUGCUGCACAAACACCUGAGAUAACUAAUGAAGAGGAAAGGUUGCUGGGUGUGAUGGAUGGUGCACACCUGUAAUCCUAGCACUUGGGAGACUGAGGCAGGAUGACAUGGGUUCAAGGUCAGCCUGGGCUACAUACCAAAACUCUUGUCUCAAAAAUAAAUACAUAAAUGUUUAUUUUGGCCACAAUUUUGUUGAGUUCGUGGCUCACUAUGUUGCUCUGAGGUCCCUAGCAAGGCAGCACACCAUGGAAGAAGCAUGUGGCAGAGCAAAACCUGCUAUAUCAGACCAUAAACUCAAGAGGUAAGUAAAGUAGUAAAGAGUAAGGAAAGUAAAGAGCUGAGGCUCUCAGCCUUUCUGGAUUAUUGAGGAGGUCAAAGUGUGUUGCAGAAUGAGGUGCUGGUCAUUUGCCAUGGUCAUCAGAUCACCUAUGCGUGCUGGGGGCCAGACUGCUGAAGCUCCCUCAGAAGAGAUGGGAAGGGUCACUGGGCCAGAGCUUUCAGCUUCUCCCCCUAGCCAUUUAUAUGUCAUUCUGCCUAAUUGCAUGGGAUCUUAGGAGGAGCUGGAGUACACUGACUAUGGGGAAGCCAUCAGCCAUGACCGGUAGGGACUUUCAGGCGCCCAACUUUAGGGUCACUCACUUUUGUAGGCAAUCCCUCAUUCACGCUCCAGAAACUCAGUGGUUCCACAGGAUGAACUUUGGGGCAAUCAGUUUGAUCUGUCAUUGGGGCCUUAUGAGGAAUAGGAAGACUUUUUUUUUUUUUUUAAACCUCUCUCCAGGGAGGGAAUUCUUGCAAGUCAUCAACACAUCGACAUUAAUAUUAUGCGCCGUCGAGCUAAGUAAUCAACGGCAACCCCAAGAGACGGAGCGAUAAAUACCCUGACGCCACGGUACAGUCACUAAAGUCACGUUUCCAGGAUUCCUCCCCAAAACAUUAAAGUUUGUACUCAGGGCUACUUUCUAGUUCCGAGGAAACCACCGAGUCACGUGUCCUCCUCUGCGGGUCCCAGGCCAGGCGCGCCCCCACACGCCCACGUUCCUCAAGUCACCCCUUUCGGUGCUCCAACACGCUCCCGGCCCCCCUUCUCGCCUGAGGUUCUCGCGUCUACACCGGCCUGCUCCGCUCCCGAAGCUGGGUCCUGAGGGAGGGGACGCAGCAACAAGAGUGUUGUCUCCGCGCACGCCGCACGCCCGCGGGAUCAGGGGCGAC
rnacentral:lncRNA from 1 species